rnacentral:misc_RNA from 1 species
GAAAUGCGAUAAGUAAUGUGAAUUGCAGAAUUCAGUGAAUCAUCGAAUCUUUGAACGCACCUUGCGCUCCUUGGUAUUCCUUGGAGCAUGCCUGUUCGAGUAUCAUGAAAUCUUCAAAGUAAAUCUUUUGUUAACUCAAUUGGUUUCUACUUUGGUAUUGGAGGUCUUUGCAGCUUCACACCUGCUCCUUUUUGUUCAUUAGCUGGAUCUCAGUGUUAUGCUUGGUUCCACUCGGCGUGAUAAGUUAUCUAUCGCUGAGGACACUGUAAAAGGUGGCCAAGGUAAAUGCAGAUGAACCGCUUCUAAUAGUCCAUUGACUUGGACAAUACUUUUAUGAUCUGAUCUCAAAUCAGGUAGGACUACCCGCUGAACUUAAGC